rnacentral:lncRNA from 1 species
UGAGAUCAAGAUAUGCAAAAUACACACGGAUCUGAACAUUUCUGAUCCGUUGACAAAACCACUCCCGCAGGCUAAACAUGAUGCGCAUGUAAGAGCUAUGGGUAUUAGGUACCUUCUAGAUUGACUCUAGUGCAAGUGGGAGACUGUUGGAGGUAUGCCCUAGAGGCAAUCAUAGAGAUGAUGAUAUUCCAUUUGUAUCCAUGAUUUGUAUAUUGUGUUCAUUGAAUAUCCAUUAAAGGCUACUUGAAUUGAUUUGCAAUUAUGUGAAUUGUAUGUGAAACUCUUUACUUGUAUGGUUAUUCUAAAGUUAUCCCUAGUCGGAGUUCAUGUGAGGACACACAUGAAUAUUAGACUAGCACAUGUAUUAGUUGAUGACUAUGUUUCACAAGUCAUGGACAUAGAGAUUUUGAACUAAUAGUGUGGACACCUGUGGAGACAUGUGCUAGGACUGACC